UGAUCAAACAACAACUACCAUUUAUACUUGCCAAUCACCACCACACACACACAGCAGAUAUAUGAUUAAAUUAAUUGUUAGCCACUGAAAACAUUUUUUUUUUCGUUUCGUUGUUGAAACAAGGGGGAAUAUCAAUUUGGCCUAAAAACAAAAAGAA